rnacentral:lncRNA from 1 species
UUUUUAACAAUUGAAGUUGUCUACUCGCAAAGAAGAAUUCAUUUCAUACAUAAUUCAACUAUUUUGGUAACCGGAACUCACCAAAAAAUUGAGUCCAAAUCAAAUUAAACUUAACUUUUUCCAAAAUAUUCAAUUGGUAUUUUCUCAAUACAUUCCCCAAACAUCACAAAAAAAACAGUGUGAAAAAGAAAAAAGAAGGAUGGGAGUAGAAGUGUCCGGCGAAGUCAGCGCAGCAUUAGCAAGCACAACAGCGACCUGAUUAGCUUCCCGGUAAAUAGGAUGCACAUGAACAGUCCAGUCAGAAUCCAGCAGCGACCUGCAAUCAUGAAGAAUGGGUAAAAUCCAAGGGGAACUACUCGACAAAGUAGUUAACAGUGUGUAAACUGCUUUGUAAUAAACUUCCACAUAAAGUGUACGGAUGCCCAAAGUAUGAGCAAGGCCAAGGCCUGAACGAAGAUCCCAAAACUCAGCCACAAAACAAGUCGUAAUACCUAACUGUUAAGAGAAUCCCAUAAUCCACUUGCCCUGGCUAUCACUAAUAACACGACCCUCGCCCGCAGCACCUGGUUGACCCAAAGAACUCCCAUCCGUAUUGAGCUUGAAAGCAUUAACGGAGGCGGAAUCCAAGAAAUAAACCGGGUUUGGAAACAGCGGACACUUGAAGAACGUUGGACACAGUACUGAAAUUCUAGUGUUAAAGAGCGAAUCCAUUGCAGCUGGGUAGAAGUAGAAAGAACUUGGGAGGAAAAAUGUACCCGAUUACGGGCCAAUCAGAUUGUCCAGGCAGUAUUUAAUUUGUAUGCCCUAUCAUUCUAUAUUUCAGCUCAGUAACAAGAUACUUACAUUGCCGGUCACGAGCUAUACCUUCGGCCCGUUUGGUUGAUCUGAUUAUUGAUGUGAGGAUGCGUAAUCCCAUCAUGUUUUGUAUAUGUCACGUUUUUUGGGAUUAGCUGUCCAAUGGAUAUUUAAUCUGUCCCCGCAAUUGUUGCGGUCUCAUAUCUGUGUGUUUCUGUGUAAGCACAUUGAUAGUCGUAGAUAAACUGCCUCCUGUUCAAAAAAAAAAAAACUAAAAUUUUCUUUUGUGGCAACGUCUCACUUGCCACAUGAUUGCCUGUAAAAGUUGAGCACAGAAUGGAGGCAUAAUGCUCUUAUUCAUGCCAGUUAGAAAAUUGAAC